rnacentral:rRNA from 1 species
AACUAACGCUGGCGGCGUGCCUAACACAUGCAAGUCGUACGAGAAAGUUGGCUUCGGCCGAUGAGUACAGUGGCGCACGGGUGAGUAACGCGUGGAUAAUCUGCCCUUAAGUGUGGAAUAACGUACCGAAAGGUGCGCUAAUACCGCAUAAUGCCUGGCAACAUAAGUUGUCCGGCCAAAGAAGGCCUCUGCUUGCAAGCUUUCGCUAAAGGAUGAGUCCGCGUACCAUUAGCUAGUUGGUGGGGUAACGGCCUACCAAGGCGACGAUGGUUAGCUGGUCUGAGAGGAUGAUCAGCCACACUGGAACUGAGACACGGUCCAGACUCCUACGGGAGGCAGCAGUGAGGAUAUUGCGCAAUGGGGGCAACCCUGACGCAGCAACGCCGCGUGAGUGAGGAAGGUUUUCGGACUGUAAAGCUCUGUCGAGCGGGAAGAAGUGUACCAUGGCUAAUAUCCAUGAUAUUUGACGGUACCGCUAGAGG